CAUUAUUGAAACUAUCGGUAAGGGUUGUUGCUGGCCUCUCGGGGCACGUGCACACCUGAACCUUUAAAUCCACACACACCUGUGAACCCAAUGUAAGGGCCCGUAACAAGGCCCCUACGUCUUAUCACAAACCCUUUGCAUGUUUUCAUAGAAUGUUAUUUAUAUCUUCGCCUUAAAAAAGCGUUGGUAAACCUAUACAACUUUCAACAACGGAUCUCUUGGCUCUCGCAUCGAUGAAGAACGCAGCGAAAUGCGAUAAGUAAUGUGAAUUGCAGAUUUUCAGUGAAUCAUCGAAUCUUUGAACGCACCUUGCGCCCCUUGGUAUUCCGAGGGGCAUGCCUGUUUGAGUGUCAUUAAAUUCUCAACCCCUGGAUCUUUCUCGGGGCUUGGACUUGGAGUGUGCUGGCAUCUGGUCGGCUCCUCUCAAAUGCAUCGGCGGAAUUGAACCUUUGGUGUCCGUGCAUCAGUGUGAUAAUUAAUGUUGCGCUGUCGUCGGUCAUGGAAGUCCGCUUAUAAUGGUCUUCGGACAAACCCUUCAUCAAAUUUGACCUCAAAUCAGGUAGGACUACCC
rnacentral:rRNA from 1 species